CAUUAAGAAGCUAUGAAUCAGCAUUAGCCUUUUAAGCUAAAGAAAGAGGACACCACCCCUCCUUAAUGA
rnacentral:tRNA from 1 species